GUUAAUUUGGUACAUUUACAUCUUUGUGACAUUAAAUCCUCUCUUCUAUGAACAUGAGCUUGGUGAUGUGGAUCGAUGGAUGAAGAAUUAAUAUGAAUACCUUUUAGUAAGUCAUGCAACUCUCCUAACAAUCUAGAGGUACAGUUCUACUCUUCUCAGUUUAGUCUACAGCUGAAAGUUCAAGCUGCUUUUCACCUUAGGGGAAAGCACCUGCCUCACUGCCUCACCUUAUUUGCUCAGAGGAUGAGUGGAAGUAUGACUGCGGCUAUCAUUUUCCAAGUUGAUGAAACAUAUCACAUGAUCCAGCAUCCUUCCCUCUGAACUAGGAAUCAGAUCCUGGGCACUUGUAGUGGAAAGGCUUGUCACUGCUUUGAAGAAAUGGCAAGGUCACAAAAAUAUUAACUAUACAAAAUCAAACAAUAAAAUCAAAAUUAUUAUAUAGAGCCCUUUAUUGUCAAAACUGAGUCAGAAAUAAUGCCACCUUGUCCCAGCAUCUCUGCCCUAAAACAUAGUGGUGCCUGAAAAUGCGGGUCAAGAAAUGUGAUACGAAGUUGGGAAAAACCUAGGAUAUAUUUUAUAGUUAUGAAAAGAGACAGUUUCACGUUUUAUCCUCUCUUGUGUGGCAGAAUUACUAUGAUUGUUUCAUGGCCCCAAAUAUUUUAGUUCCAUUGAUGGUCUAGUCAUGUCAUGUAUUAGUUUUAAAGAUGAGGUACACACCCUUUGACCUCUUCUGGUUACCCUCCCCUGAGGUACCCAGUGCUCAGGCACUGCAAUCUCACUCUCAAGAAGUCCCAUUGGGGACUGGGUCUGUCCACAUGUA